UCAGCUGGGAGAAGCCACAGAGGAGGAGGAGGGCGGCUCCUACCCUGAGGCUGCGGUGGCCCACACAGGUGUCAUGGGAAGGGGUGGGUGUCACGCUGGAUGACAGAUUGUCUUCAGCCAGAUGGUGGCGGGUGAAAGAGGCCUCACCAACCUCUGCUGGCCUUCCAGACAGCGCAAGAGCACACGUGUGUGUGUGUGUGUGUGUGUGCACAUGCGUAUACUACAAUGGUGGGAUGUGGGCAGAGCAAAACUCUGGGGAGUUCUUCCCAUUUUCCAUAUCCAAGUCUCAUUUCCAUGAUUUCAGUUCCUUAGAGAAUGUCAGCACUUGUCGAGUCAUUUUCAUUAUUUAGUCUCCACCCUAAAAUUCCCUCAAGAUCUAAAGUCAAGAAGGUCCCCCAGAGGGAUCUCUGUGCCUCUGGAGGAUAAUUCAGACAACCUCCCUGGAGGUCCCCAACUCGGAGGCUGCCUACGCUGCCGCCAUGUCUUCAGCAACUCUCGCCUUUCUUUCCUCCCUGUCGCCACCUUGCCUCGCCGGGGAGGCAUCAACUGGACGCUCCCUCCGGGGACUGGGGCCUCUAAGAGAAGUCCCGGAUUAUGGCACACAGAGAAUGGGAGACCCUGGGGCAGAAAGCACGCGCCCAGAGAGCUCGGCUGCUCCCCUGUCGCACAGGCAGCAGCUCCUCUCGGCCUCCUCCAAGGAUAACGCGUGUCUUCAUUCCCCUGAUGGGUUUAUGGGAGAACGUCGUCUAUCAGACGCAGGACAAGUCUGUCAUCGGAACAUUUAGUGCAGCAGCCGAAAUUGACAGUUUCCGAGCCUUUGUGGUCAGGCAGAGAGAAGACCGGGAAGAGUGGGAAGAGAAUUCUGGGUUCUGGUGCCUGCUCUAUUGGUCUCGAACGCUAGCUUCAGGCAGUUCGCUUUCUUGUGUUGAAAGCUUGUGACAAUUCCUCCAACAGAGAGACAGUUUCUGACUCCAGCUACCGACUUGAGAGACAAGAUCGGGAAUUACAGCUCUUCUCCAGUCACAAGCAAAUCAAUUAGUGUUCAAGAAAAUCGUGCUCAGUGUACUCUAAAUGUGAUGAUUUUCAUCAAACAAGAUUAUCAGAAAACAAUAGGCCUACAAUUUUCCCCAAAGCAAAUGUGAUUUUUACCUAAGGUAAAUUUUCAGAUUAUGUCCUUGGCUUGUACACGGCAUUUCAUACCGUAAAAACAAGCAAGCAAACAAAUAAAUAAACAUUAUGCUACGUUUACGAUUAACCC
rnacentral:lncRNA from 1 species